CAACGUGCUUCAAUUCUGAAUGAGGAGGACCAGCUUUCUGGGUGAGAACGAAGGCUGUCUCUAUUCAGCCCCCGACCCCUCUGCUCAAGGCUCUUAAUGAAGGGGCCUCAUUAACACCAAAGAUAAAUCACUCCGCCUUGAAAAGUUUCCAGCCUGCGAGCCAAGCCCUGCAAUGUAAAUCUGUAACAGCAGGAGGCAACUCGGCACAGCAGAACAGGGACCCAAAAAGCCUGUGGACCCUGGACUGAUGUUACCUUGUUCUGGCUGCAUUGCAGGGAGGAAACCACAGCCACCCUGCCAGCCUCUUCAGAGGACCCAGCCCCACGGUGUGUCGUGCAGCAAGGCCUGGAGA